CAGAAGCCUCGGGGGAGGAGGGAGCCCCGAGGAGGACACUUCCCGAGGGCUCUGGGCCUUUUGGAGAGCUGGGAGGAAGAGGGGGGGUUCUCUUUGGAUGGUUCGUAUUCCUAGGCUGUGUCUUCACGCAAAUAUGUGGCAGUGCAGUGCUGGAAGCCCCUCGCAUGUGAGCAGUUUGUGGAUACAUGGGCCCUGCACGGGGAGCCUGGUAAAGAAUAGCAAAGGCUUAACCCGUCCUGACACAAUGCAGCCGUCCUGCGUGCAACUGAGAACGCGCGCUCACCCCUUCCCCCGGAAGAGGAAGUCAAGUCCUUGAGUGCUGUUGACUCUUCUGGUUGGCCUCUCACCUAAACGCUGUGCUGUGAGACUCUCCAAGCGGAAACGCUGUGAGCUGCCUGGAAUCUGAACUCAAUGCUUGGAGACUCAGAAGCCACUUAUAAUCAUGAAGAUGAAAGCCACAGAGCACAGCAGAUCUGAAAGAUGGAGGGACCAUGACCUCAGUCUUGGAUGCCCUACUGCAGACAUGUUAGGUAAGAAAAAAUAAAGCCGUUGCCUUACAUGAAGCUGAAUGCUACUUCAGCUAAUGGUUUAAGUAUUCGGUUUUUUUUUUUUUUAGGGGGGCCGUACCCAUGACAUAUGGAAUUUCCCAGGUUAGGGGUCAAAUUGGAGCCCCAGCCUCUGGCGUACAUCACAGCCACAACACCACCAGAUAUGAGGAGCUGCAUCUGCAACCUCUGCCACAGCUCACAGCAAUGUCAGAUCCUUAACCCACUGAGCCACAAUGGGAGCUCCUAAGUAUUCAAUCUUUAAAAACUAGGAACAGAAGCACAAUUUAAUCCUAAAUAGAGUAGGAGAAAGCAAAUAAGACAAAUUGAUAAGGUAGGAAAUGGAGAAACAAGAAUGUACAUUAAAACAUUUAAAAAUAAAACCAACAAAAUAAACAAAUCUCAAAACAAGCUUUAUUUUUUUUCCCUCAAACUAAACUGUGUUAAAAAGAAAUAGAAGAGGCUCUACCUACGCAAUAUAGAUUUAAAAAGAAACAACACAGUAACUCUGCCGUGGGGAUACAAAGCAGACAGAGCCUGAGGAAUCCUGGACAACUUAGAGACCCUGCUGUUUGAACUGCAUCAUUACCUGACAUGUAUGGUGUUCCUGCUGUAACAUCUUAUGCAGUUAAAAGUGUCAGUGGCCCUCUUUUUAAGUCAUCAGAAUUGUUGCUUGGAUUUCAGCCAGUCCUCAGGUUGAAAAAUGUAACCCACCUCGUCUGGUGAUGAGACACUUCGGGACCACACGUGCUCAUCCUCAGUUUGUUGCUCACCGUUUAGGUAGAGCGCCCUCUAGGGGGAAAGCUGUGGAAUGACAGGAGCUGCCGUUGGUUAUUGUGGAGAGUGGAGGGUGACCAAAUGGUGAUCUAGAGAUCAGGGCUUGCAGAUCGAAGAGAAGACUUGGGGAGUUCCUGUCGUGGAGCAGCAGAAACGGAUCUGACUAGGAACCGUGAGGUUGCGCGUUCGAUCCCUGGCCCCGCUCAUUGGGUUAAGGAUCUGACCUUGCCGUGAGCUGUGGUGUAGGUCGCAGACUUGGCUCAGAUCUGGCGUUGCUGUGGCUGUGGUGUAGACCUGCGGCUACAUCUCUGAUUUAACCCCUAGCCUGGGAACCUCCAUAUGCCACAGGUGCAGCCCUAAAAAGCAAAAAAAAAAAAAAAAAAGGGAGGGGGAGAGAAGGCUUGGUGUUAGAAUGUGCUCUCUUAUUUCUCAUAGUAUUUACAGAUGGCCACCGUGUCACACAACUGCUGUGGAAACAUUCCCAGAAUCCCAUGUGUGUGCCCACCUUGGAGCCGUGUGCAGCAAGGCAGCCCUCCGGGGGUACAGAUGGAGGUAGAGGUAAGAACGAGCAAAGUCAGAUCAAAGGAAGGUGACUGAGAUUCCCGAAGGUGUUUUGAGCCUGGUAUAAAAGGAGUGGAGAGAGAUUAUUGAUGGGAAAAUUAAGGGUGUGUUGCCCACAUGAGACUCACCAUUAACAAAGAUUUAGAGGCAACAGCAGGUCUCUUAUGUGCAGCGAUGCCUGGCAGACUGUCUCAGUUAAAGAAAGAAUGGUGGUACCAGACUCUCCCGGCAGAUUAGGGUGGACGGAUUUAAAGACUGGACUGGGUCCUUUGCUCACCCACAUUCAGCCUUGAUAGUUUAAUUUGGACCGCAGUGACCCCCUUUCCAGCUGUCUGCUUAAUUUCCUCCUGUAAGUAUCCACUGCUAUUCUAACUUAGACAGUUUCUCUUCUCCCUAGCCCAGUCCUGCCCUUACUCAUAACCACAGGCUCAAUCUUUUCAUCUCCCUCAUUAACUUCUUCUCGUCUGAAAUUCAGUCUUUAAGUUCUUUUGAUCUUUACCUCACAGAGUUUCUUCAGAAAAACUUCUAAGCAACCAAUGCAGAAAUUCUCAGAGUCUCCGAUUUCAGAGACUGUCUUUUAUUUUCCAUCUGAGCAGGCAAGUUCUGAACUAAAAACCACCUCCUGCUUGGUGAGACAGUGAGUGGGUUGUUGAAAACUGGUGGCAGUAGGUGAUUUUUAAUGGAUCCUACAUGUCUAUUUCUACUUUAUUAACUGUAUUAUGUUAACCUUCUUUAAGUUGCUUCAGAUAUUUGUGGAAAGCUGUGGGGCAUAGAUAAACUGAAUGUGCAAGAUGUUUUAAGAAUUGAGGAGUUCCUGUUGUGGUACAGUGGAAAGGAAUCUGACUAGGACCCGUGAGAUUGCAGGUUCGAUCCCCGGCCUUGAUUAGCGGGUUAAGGAUCUGGCCUUGCCGUGAGCUGUGUUGUAGGUCACAGACUUGGCUUGGAUCUGGCGUUGUUGUGGCUGUGGUGUAGGCUGGUUCCCUAGCAUGGGAACCUCCAUAUGCUGCAGGUGUGUCCCUAAAAAGCAAAUAAAUAAAUAAAUAAAAGAUGUUUCAAGAAUUUAGACUCCCUUUAUCUGUCUUGUCCUUUGCCAUCCCACAGCCUCUACCCCUGGCAAGGUAGGCUCCUUAUAGUGAGAGGACAGCAGAUUUACAGAUUGGUCCUUUGGUCUCUGUGUUUUGAGAUGUAUCUUUUUAUACACAGUUUGAUUCAUGUUCUUAAUCCCAGCUUUGGUUCUUCUUCUCAACUGGCCCCUGAUCUUGUUAUAUCUGGUUCUAUGUCAUGCUUUUAUUUACUCUUUCAAACAUAUGGCCCUGGUGGAAACAGAGCAGUGAAUCUACAAUAUUUUUUUGUCAUAUCCUUGGAGGUGGGUGGGGGCUUCCACGUGGUACAUGGGUUCCUGGAGUGCUAGUCCAGUGGCACCUACUUAGGGGCCCAGGCUGCUGAUUUUUGCAGUCAAUCCUCCUGUGCUGUGCUCUGAGGGAACCUAUUAUGGAUUACCUGACCCAGGUUGUCAGAAACACACACAAAGGCAAAAUAGCUGGGCUAGGACACUUUAGGGAGAUAGGGAAAUAAAAUCAGAAGAAUCUGAGGCCAAGAGACCAGAACUUAUAUACAAAAAGGAAUACAAAGACCAGAAAUGUGGAUAUACAGAGAAGGAGAAAGUCCUUGGCCUUUGGAUUAUGUGGCUCAUUCAUAGUGGGUAUUUGAAUGUUUCUUGACAUGGAAUGAAACUUGGAAUUGUGAGGAACGAUGGAACAUAUUGGAACUAUGUAGGAAAGAGUGUGAGAAAUUACUUGAGAUAUGUAAAACCACCUUAAGAGGUAUAAAAGAUGUACAGAUAAAUGCAAAGAAAACUCUCUUUGCACACGUCUUAAUUAAACCACUGAAAACUAAAGAAAA
rnacentral:lncRNA from 1 species